rnacentral:rRNA from 1 species
UACGUAGGGUGCGAGCGUUAUUCGGAAUUACUAGGGCGUACAGGGUGCGUAGGCGGCCUAUUAAGUCGAUUGUUAAAUAUCCCGGCCUAACCGGGAAAGUGCGGUUGAUACUGAUAGGCUAGAGGGUGGAAGAGAGAAGUGGAAUUCUCGGAGUAGCGGUAAAAUGCGUAGAUAUCGAGAGGAACACCAAUGGCGAAGGCAGCUUCUUGGUCCACAUCUGACGCUGAGGCACGAAAGCGUGGGGAGCAAACAGG